rnacentral:rRNA from 1 species
AUCUUUCGGGACCUCUCGCUGCAGGGGCGGCCGAUGGCAGAUUAGCUAGUUGGUGGGGUAAAGGCCUACCAAGGCGACGAUCUGUAGCUGGUCUGAGAGGACGACCAGCCACACUGGGACUGAGACACGGCCCAGACUCCUACGGGAGGCAGCAGUGGGGAAUUUUGGACAAUGGGGGCAACCCUGAUCCAGCAAUGCCGCGUGUGUGAAGAAGGCCUUCGGGUUGUAAAGCACUUUUGUCCGGAAAGAAAACUUCGGGGUUAAUACCCCUGGAGGAUGACGGUACCGGAAGAAUAAGCACCGGCUAACUACGUGCCAGCAGCCGCGGUAAUACGUAGGGUGCGAGCGUUAAUCGGAAUUACUGGGCGUAAAGCGUGCGCAGGCGGUCCGCUAAGACCGAUGUGAAAUCCCCGGGCUUAACCUGGGAACUGCAUUGGUGACUGGCGGGCUAGAGUAUGGCAGAGGGGGGUAGAAUUCCACGUGUAGCAGUGAAAUGCGUAGAGAUGUGGAGGAAUACCGAUGGCGAAGGCAGCCCCCUGGGCCAAUACUGACGCUCAU